GACGAACCGUGCGAACGUUGUUCGGAAUCACUGGGCUUAAAGGGCGCGUAGGCGGGCUGCCAAGUCUGGGGUGAAAUCCCACGGCUCAACCGUGGAACUGCCUCGGAUACUGGCGGUCUCGAGGGAGGUAGGGGCAUGCGGAACUGUGGGUGGAGCGGUGAAAUGCGUUGAUAUCCACAGGAACUCCGGUGGCGAAAGCGGCGUGCUGGACCUCUUCUGACGCUGAGGCGCGAAAGCUAGGGGAGCAAACGGG
rnacentral:rRNA from 2 species